rnacentral:misc_RNA from 1 species
CCCUCCUCCAAGGAAGGCAUCAAUCUGAAUAGGACCUAAGGUAGUUCCAGGAACAGCAGAUUGUAUUGGUUUAUAUUUUCUAGCAGCUGCAGCAGCUGGAUCCCAUUGUGCCAUCAUUUUCAGUAAAGCAUUGAUGAAUGCAGAUUUCCCAACAUUAACUGAACCCUGUAGAAAUGAAGAAAUUAAAUAUCAACAAAUGCCGACUCACAUGUUAUGGAUUUAAAAAUUGCGAAACCAAAGCAUGAACAACAACUUAUAAAUCCAAGUAAUUAGUCAUGAAGGAUUCACCAGGGGGGGAAACACAUUCAGCCUAUUAUUCUGAAUUUUGCUCACUUGUACAGAAGUAAGUUGGCAGGGACAGGUGACACAAAAAGCAUUCCUUCAGAUCUCAAAAAGAUGUAAAAGCUCUUGUUCUGCACUAAUAUCAAGCCACCCAAUAGAUUUCAACCAAAAGUAAAGUCAAAAGGGAGAUACCUUUCUUUUUACAAGUUGGAACUUCUAAAUCGAUCUUUAGAGGUGAGAAAUUUGGCCAAUCAGGCAAAUGGGGAGAAUGUCACAAACAAAUGCAUCAAUUGCUUGGUAUAAACCAAAGAUGUGUAGAGAAAAUGGAUAGCUCUUUAUGCGCUUUUCUCUCCUGUAUGACUCAGUGUAUAGGAAAAAUACUAGCAAAUGUCUCCCAAAACUUAGGAGCAUGAUGAGACUUCUAUGAACUACACAACAGACCAAAAAUGAUGGUAGUCAAUGUUUUUGAGAAUUUGAGCUUAAUCAUGAGGUAGAAAAGAAAAGACUACAACAACAGCUUUUAACAUGAAAGAAAAGAAGGGCUAAUGUUACAUAUGAGUAAAGCAUAAGUAAUUUCAGUGGGGCUUUGCUUCCUAGACUCCGUUUCAUUCUAUAUUCAGUUAAACACAAGAAAGAAAAGAAGGGUGAAUGUUACAUAUGAUUAAAGCAUAAGUAAUAUCAGUAAGGCGUUAGUUUGAGAUCCUUCUAAGUUAUUGAAGCAUUUAAUUCAUCCCAGUUAGAGGAACGUAAAAUAAUAAAUCAAUGCCAUGAUAACUCACUAAAAACCAUCACUUUUUUAUUCCUACUUUGACAAAUCAAUGUAAAGCUUCCAGUUAAGAGAGUUACCAACCAGAAUGUAAACGUCCCGGCCCUGCACCAAAAGUAUAAAUACUAAGAGCUUCAGUUGACAAAGAUGCAAUAACUAUCAAUAUAAAUACCCAGAACUUAAGUUGAUGAAAAAUCUAACGAAAUCAUAUCACAACAUCUAAGUUUAAUUAUAUAUUAAGUUCAUACUGACAACAAAAUAAGAGCUAUAAAGAGACAAAAAAGAACUGCAAUACUAUCACAACAACUACAAAAAUACAGUUGAUAGAUAGAAAGACAAAUCCACUAGUUGCAUACAACAAAAGAACACAUUAUCUUUCUGGCAUUAAAAUUAGAUGUCAACCUUCCUUCUUCUUUCCCCUUCUUUCUUUUAGUUAAAUAUUCACAUGUACAUAUGAACAAGAUAUGAAUUUCUUUUUCCUAUUUUAUGUAUAGAAAAGAAUACUAAAGGGACCAAAAGGAAUGGAACACAAUAACAAAAAGGAAAUUAUGUGCAUAGAAGGAAUCAACGAAAGUUAUAACAUAAAAAAGCCCACAAAAACAGUUCACAAAAAUUUUUGUAUUCUUUAAUAUGUUAGUGGAGAAAAACACCUUUUUCUCCUUUUGAAUUUCUGAGACAACUCCAGUAAUUCCAACUAAUGACUUUGAGCUUGUAAGAUGAACACUCAGCACAUUAAGCUUCUUCUUAGUAGUGGCCUCUACAACCCAAUCACCAACACAAUUAAGAUCAGUCUCUUUAGGAAGGAGAUCAACCUUGGUCACAACUAAUAUUAUAGGGUUUGCACCAGCAAGAUCACGCACACGAGCCAAAAAGCUGCCAUUGAAGUCCACAAUAUCAACUAAUUUAACAAUUAAAACUCUCUCAUGACGCAAGUGAGACAGCUUUUCCCGAAGCCCUUCGGCUGAAACAAACUGCUUCCCACCAGGAUACCCUCCAUUCCCACCAACAGCCGUUAUCAUAUGACCAUGAGAUAAAAGCCUGCACCUCCCACAAAGAAGAGUUCUAAGCUGGUGGUGUCUCUUCUUCAAUUCAUACGUAUCCGGGUCCACGUAACCCGGAGCUUCCUGAUCCGAAGUCUGCAACGGAGCUCCGCACCCAUAACAACAAACCACCGCCGAGUUCACCUUCAAAGCCUUCUGUUUCUCUCUCCUCCUUUUCUUCUUAGCCGCUUUCAUAACCAGUUUAGCAGCUUCAAAUGCUUUUUGGCGCUCAAGAAACUGCUCGCCUGGGGUCGGAGCAGCUGCCCCUGCACCAUCGGCUUCCGGCAUGGAAACUGAUAAUUGGGUCUCCGAGAGCGGCGUUUUUUGUGAUUGUGUGGAUUUACAGAAGAUACGAGUGGGUCUUGUGUAAAUUUUAAGGACAUUGGGGUUAAAGUGUGUAAGCUGGUGGGGGAGACAGAUAGGAGAGAGAAGUGUGGAGAGGGUUUUGGGCGCCAUUAAUGACCGUUAAAGAUAGCUUCUUAGUUCUGAGGAGCUGGGGUUUUAGCUUUUAGAGCGUGAAUAGUG